rnacentral:lncRNA from 1 species
GAGAGGGGGUGGGAAGGCAUCUGAAAUGAGAUGAAGAUCAGUGCCGACUUCCAGCUCUGGAGAGACCAGAUGAAGAGACAAGAAGCAAAUAGAAACGUCAUGGAAAGAACCAAGGGAGGAGAGGAAAUCAGGUUAGAUGAAAGGAUGCCAAGCAGGAGGGGAGAUGAGUCAGUCUAGGGUAAGAACUCUAGGUGGGAUAAAAUGAAACUGGGUUGGGAGGGACACACACACAUGUGCACACAUGCACACUCACAUAUUCACACAUGUGCACACACGUAUGCACACAUGCAGACACACUUGCACACACUGUCACAUGCACACAUGCACACUCACACACGUGUACACAUAUGUCCACACAUGCACACUCACUCACAAACGUGUACAUGUGUACAUGCAGACACAUGUGCACACACUCACACUCACACAUGCAUACUUAUGUACUCGUACAUGUGCAGGAAUGCACUCACACAUGUACACAUACACACACAUAUGCACUUGCGCACACAC